GGACUAAAGUGGACUGUGGACUGUAUAGCUCAUAAAGGUGCGGAAAGAAUACAAAACAGCGGACAGCUUCUCAUCUUUUUGUCCGAAAAGUAUUUGAUCUAGACUGUGCUGGGGGUGACAAAGCUACUCCAGUUUGUGGAAAGAUCAUUCAUUUUGAAAAGGUGGACUGAUCAAGGAAGACGUUUGCUGCUGGCAUUAACUCAUUCACUGCCAUUGAUGACUUUAGAAGUCAAAUGGCCAUGUCAACUGGGAGGGCUGUCAGUAAAUGAGUUUAAUCUCUAUUUAACCGGAUCGACUUUUGAUGCUCAAGGAAGAAAAUAAGGACUUCAUCUGUAAGGAAAGAGGAAGAGAAAAAAAAGUGAGCCGCAUGACUCAGCAGAAAGGACAUCUGCAAGCUGACCAGAGGUAGACCUAAGACUUGCUGUGCAUCUGCUGAAAGUCAGCAGCGAUCUCCAAUGCUGUUUUAUUCCUCAUCUUGGGCACGUUGAAGUACACGUACAGCCCAGAAGUAAAGCACACCAACAAGAAUAUGAGAAAGCAGAAGGAAUCAAGGUACUCCUGGAAUGGAAGCAAUUGCAUUCUGGUUGUAGCGGACUUUGAGGCGUCACAGAAACUCGCGACCACCUGAGAACCCCAACUCCUCCACGCUGCCCUGCUGUGAAACGGCGACUAGGAGAGGGCCUGGUGUACUUCAAGUGGACCUUAACCUAAUUAGCAACUUCCCGUCAAAUCUUGAUUCCUGUCUUCAAAAGACCACUUCCCGGACCAAAUGGUUGGGAAGACUAUGUGGUUAAUAUCCACCGAUGCGCGCGAGGCUCCACCCACUGGCGUUGAGAGGAACUGCAAGCGCCAGAACUUGUAAAAUUGCAGCGAGACGAAGGUGACGACGAUGGUCAUCAGCUGCCAGCGAACGCUUCUUUCCCGAAUCAGCUCCAUCACGGAGCGACUUCGGAUGUUCUGGUGGGCAGCUUUCUCCUCCAACAUCUCCUCCACCUCCCCGCUGUGGUCCUUGUUACCCCAAAGCCUCGUCAAAGCUAAGCGGCCGUGACAUGGCAAAGAUGUGGCAUUGGUGGCUGUGUGUGUGUGCCUGCCAAACAAAACGUUUGUGUGGUCGCACCUUUCUCGCAGGCCGGCUGGUCUCCUCGGUUUAGGAGCAGGAAUUUGGGAGAUUCCGGCAAGAACGGGAGUGUGACGAGCUGAAAUAGUGCAGGGAAGCCACUGAAGCCGAGCAGCCAGGGCCAUCUAGCCUCUGUGCCAAGUAACUCACUGCAAGGAGAGUAUCUCUGAAUUAGCACCAAUCGGAGUUAGAUUUGUUUGAAUUUUCUAGAUAACGAUAAAUGCCACCAUAGGAUCGUACAGGUGCCUAUCCGUUUUCUGUCUCACUUAUCCUCAUGAGUGUUGCAGGUGAGUUGCAGCAUAUCCCGAACGCCAUAAGAAAAUCUCCAAACCCGUGGGAAAAUGUGUUGUGGGCCAACAAAACCAAGGCUGAAUAUUUCAGCCAUCAUUUCAAAAGGUAUCUUUGGCGCGAAGAACCAAGUGAAUUUUCAUGUAGGUCAACACGAUUGGCUGGCGACCAGUUGAGGGUGUACCCCGCCUCUCGCCCGACGAUAGCUAGGAUAGGCUCCAGCACGCCCGCGACCCUUGUGAGGAUAAAGCGGUACAGAAUAUUGAUGGAUGUUAGUACAAAGCCUUCAGGCUUCUGACAGAAAACAAAAAAAUAAGUAAUGAAAAGGCUGCUAGAACUGCUGAACUUUAUUCAGUUUAAUUAGGGGUACAUAAAAGGGUGGCAGGUGUGCGCUGGUCCCAUUUAACUUGAGUUUGAAUGUGAUUGGAUAAUUCUGAACUCCACAUCUCUAGUUAUGAGGGUGUGCACAUUUGUGGCACCAAGUUACCUUAGUUGUUUACCCAUUUUGAAAAGAUUGAGUUGGACAUGUUCUCGGUCACAUUACUGGUGGGAAAAAAGUUUUGAAAUGAUUUAUCUCGGUCUCAUUUUUUUAGGUCUCGAAAACCUGGCAUUUCAACAGGUGCGUGUAGACAUUUUCUAUCCACGGAGAAGGGCCGUAGAAUGCGAGACGAGGAUCGUUUGCUCAGUCCUAAACAAUUUGACGCUCACCCCACUUGAAAGGAUGUCUACGCCCCAGAAGGCUUCCACAGUAUUCUAAUUUAUUGAUUUGCACCUGUGUUACUAUCCCUCAGCUGCACGUCUCACCUGAGGCCCAAAAGCUGACCGCUGAACUUCCCCAUGCCGAUGAAGGUGCCGAUGGUCACGCCCACCAUCCCUUGCAGCAUCUUUGGGGUGCAUUCAGUGAGGCACGGCUCUGCCAGUAACGAGCCCAGCAAGCCCCCAAUGCUAAAAAUGGACACAGUGAAGGACCAGAUGAGCGAGACCUGCCAGUCCUUUGGACUUACAGCAGAAGGGGAUGACACUACAGAUAUUCCGAAUCCAUACUGAAAUGUCCCGCCGAUGCCCGAGAUGAAAAUGGCAACGAUAACAAGAGGACAGUCCAGCUGCAAAGAAGGAGGAGGAGGAAGGAAAGUGAUGACUAACACUCUGGGCGGUCUGUAUUAGAGAUAUAUUUAUCCACCGUCUUCAAAUCAAAUAAAGAUCCUUGAUGAACUUGUUGCAUUCUAAUGGGCUACAGUGAACCUACAAACAAAACUCUCCUACAGGCGACAGUGACGAUAAUCUUCCGCCAGAGGCGUCUGGGCAAACUCUAGUAGGAGCAUUCGGAAACAGAGAUGUCAAGUAACUGAGUACAAAUACUUGGUUACCUUAAGUAGGUCUAUCUUUAAGGGAGAGCCCGAACACCCUGCGGAGGAAACUCAUUUCGGCCGCUUGUAUCCGGGUUCUUGUUCCUUCGGUCACGACCCGCAGCUCGUGACCAUAGGUGAGGGUAGGAACAUAGAUCGACCGGUAAAUUGAGAGCUUCGCCUUUCGGCUUAGCUCCUUCUUCACCACAAGGGAGCGAUACAAAGUCCGCAUCACUGCAGACGCUGCACCGAUCCGCCUGUCGAUCUCCCGUUAUAUUCUUCCCUCACUCGUGAACAAGACCCCAAGAUACGUGAACUCCCCCACUUUGGGAAGGAUCUCAUCCCCGACCUGGAGAGGGCACGUCACCCUUUUCCGACUGAAGACCAUGGUCUCAGAUUUGGAGGUGCUGAUUUUCAUCCCAGCCUCUUCACACGGCUAAAAAACCGCUCCAGUGAGAGUUGGAGAUCACGGCUUCAUGAAGCCAACAGAACCACGUCAUCUGCAAAAAGCAGAGAUGCAAUACUGAGGCCACCAAACCGGUGGCUUAUGGUGGACCAGAAUUUCCUCGAAGCCGUCCGUAAGUCUUUCUCUAGGGCCUCACCGAACACCUCCCGUGCCAGAAUUUCUGUUUCAGCGACCACCAAAGCUGCAUUCUGCUUGGCCACCCGGUACCCAUCAGCUUCCUCAGGAGUCCCACGGGCCAAAAAGGCCCGAUAGGACUCCUUCAGCUUGACCGCAUCCCUCACCGUUGGUGUCCACCAACGGGUUUGGGGGUUGCCGCCAUGACAGGCACUCACCACCUUACAGCCAAAGUUCUGUCGGAGGUGGGAUUUGAAAAAAACUUAUCCGGAUAAAUCAUGCCAGAAUAGAUUUUGACUGUGGUUGGAUGAGAAGUACAGUAUAAACAUAGAUCAACUCCUUUCGAAUACACUGCAAAAGUACCACCAGCUAACGGCUUUCAAAAAAAUGGCCGUCUAUGUGAAAAAGAAUAUUGAGGUCAGCUGAAAGUUUGUUAUUUGAGGUGAAGAAGGUGUGAGACUUAAUAUUCGGCUUAAGCCAAAUGUCAUCUGAGUUUAUAUUAUUGCUCUACACUAUACUGUUAAAAAAGUUAAUUGUGCAAAAUUAUAGUUUUCGUUUUGAUCAGUUGAUUAUUGACUAAAUGUUGUAGUGGCCUAAUAAUGUACUCGCUUGACCUAACAUUAAAUUUGCUGUCAUUUUAAUAUAACUAUUAUUUUAUUUGUGACGGUGGGGGGGAGGGGGGGCGUAGUUCCCAAUAGGCCCCUGUGACGCAGCCUAAGAUUUUGUCCGAAUGGAAUAUCUUUGCAUUACUUUUAUUUUUAUACUAGUUGAUACAUUAACUUCUACAGAAGUCUUCUUAAACCCUAAUAUUCUAUUGGAGUAGUGAACGUGAAUAAUUUUGACGCCUCUGUUCGAAAAUACAUGAAAAUAAGUUUCCUCACAGUUUCCAGUCAAAUCUUUUGAUAUAAGCAUCAACCAAGAGUUGUUGACACUUAAGAGUUUUAUUUUGUUUUCAUGUUUGAGUUUACUCGUUAGAUAAACUUUGACUGCAGUUGCAAUUUUUGCAUAUGCAGAUGGGGCUACGGUGAAAAACAAAUUUGUUCAGUAUUUGUUUUAAGGCGACACGGUGGACGACCAGUUAGCACAUCUCCCUCACAGUUCUGAGGACCAGGCUUCAAAUCCCAGCCUCACCUGUGUGGCGUUUACAUGUUCUCCCCGUGCGUGCGUGGGUUUUCUCCGGGCACUCCGGUUUCCUCCCACAUCCCAAAAACAUGCAUGGUAGGUUAAUUGAAGACUCUAAAUUGCCCUUAGGUGUGAAUGUGAGUACGAAUGGUUGUUUGUUUCUAUGUGCCCUGCGAUUGGAUGGCGACCAGUUCAGGUUUUAUCUAGCCUCUCGCCCGAAGAUAGCUGGGAUAGGCUCCAGCACGCCCGCGACCCUAAUGAGCAUAAGCGGUACAGAAUGGAUGGAUGGAUGGAUGGAUUUGUUUUGACUAAGCUUUUGUACUUGAGCAGUUUUUUCCUGAGCACUCAGUAAUUGUUUGGAGGACUGCUUUUACGUGUGUCAUAUUAUUGUAAAGUAAAAGUACUCUUACUUGAGUACAAUUUUAGGAUACCCCCAUCUUCGGAUGUAAAAGAAAUCUGUUCUUUACAAAAAAAUAUUUGGGCCACAAUGAAAAGAAGCAGCAAUAAGAGUAAAAUUAAAAAAAAAUAAUAUUCAAAGAAUAAAGAGAAACGUUGUAAAGUUACCAUAAUGCUGGUAUUGACAUGCCAAAAACGGAGUACUGUAUUGUAAAGUGCAGGGAAUCAAUACUAAAGCAUAACUUUCCAAGAUCCUCUACCUUCUUCAUCUUUAAAGUACAAGUAGAUCUCGUUUUUCCAGUUUUUUGUCUCCUCAUACCUAUACCUUUUCCUUGCAAACUGUAUUUUACACUUGGAAUGUUAGAUUUCCUAUGCAAAUUUUUUGUUCAUUCAUGUCCUUUUUAAUUAAUCUCAAUCGAUCCGAAUCAUGUUUCUUUGAAUGGACUUGAAUGGACACUGUACUGCUGCACCUUGGCCUCAGUAAGGAAAAUUGGUUGUUCUUCAAAGACAAAGCUAUAUGCCUGGGACUAUUAUAUUGUGUUGCUCCACCAUUUGCGUUCAAAUAUAUGUUGCUUUAAGGGUUAUAACACCACAUUGUUAUUCAUUAGCUCAUCUAUGGCAUUUUGAAUUGGUUGUUAGCAAUACUCUAAACUGACUAACAGUACCUAAAGCAAAGCUAUGUGAUUGUUUU